AUGGGCGAAAGGCUGACGCAGCGACGCCGCGUGGGGGAUGAAGGCCUUCGGGUUGUAAACCCCUUUCAGCAGGGACGAAGCGAAAGUGACGGUACCUGCAGAAGAAGCGCCGGCUAACUACGUGCCAGCAGCCGCGGUAACACGUAGGGCGCAAGCGUUGUCCGGAAUUAUUGGGCGUAAAGAGCUCGUAGGCGGUCUGUUGCGUCCGCUGUGAAAACUCGGGGCUUAACCCCGAGCCUGCAGUGGAUACGGGCAGACUAGAGGUAGGUAGGGGAGAAUGGAAUUCCCGGUGUAGCGGUGAAAUGCGCAGAUAUCGGGAGGAACACCGGUGGCGAAGGCGGUUCUCUGGGCCUUACCUGACGCUGAGGAGCGAAAGCGUGGGGAGCGAACAGGAUUAGAUACCCUGGUAGUCCACGCCGUAAACGUUGGGCGCUAGGUGUGGGAUCCUUCCACGGAUUCCGUGCCGCAGCUAACGCAUUAAGCGCCCCGCCUGGGGAGUACG
rnacentral:rRNA from 1 species